rnacentral:rRNA from 1 species
AUACGUAGGGAGCAAGCGUUAUCCGGAAUUAUUGGGUGUAAAGGGUGCGUAGACGGGAAGACAAGUUAGUUGUGAAAUCCCUCGGCUUAACUGAGGAACUGCAACUAAAACUGUUUUUCUUGAGUACUGGAGAGGAAAGUGGAAUUCCUAGUGUAGCGGUGAAAUGCGUAGAUAUUAGGAGGAACACCAGUGGCGAAGGCGACUUUCUGGACAGCAACUGACGUUGAGGCACGAAAGUGUGGGGAGCAAACAGGAUUAGAUACCCUGGUAGUCCACACUGUAAACGAUGGAUACUAGGUGUAUGGUGUGAUAAACAUUCUGUGCCGUCGCAAACGCAGUAAGUAUCCCACCUGGGGAGUACGGCCGCAAGGUUGAAACUCAAAUGAAUUGACGGGG